rnacentral:rRNA from 1 species
CUGGCUCAGGAUGAACGCUGGCGGCGUGCUUAACACAUGCAAGUCGAACGGAGUAUAUUUAAAAGCUUGCUUUGUAUAUACUUAGUGGCGGACGGGUGAGUAACGCGUGGGUAACCUGCCUUAUACCGGGGGACAACAGCUGGAAACGGCUGCUAAUACCGCAUAAGCGCACAGAUAGGCAUCUAUCAGUGUGAAAAACUCCGGUGGUAUAAGAUGGACCCGCGUCUGAUUAGCCAGUUGGCGGUGUAACGGACCACCAAAGCGACGAUCAGUAGCCGGCCUGAGAGGGCAAACGGCCACAUUGGGACUGAGACACGGCCCAAACUCCUACGGGAGGCAGCAGUGGGGAAUAUUGCACAAUGGAGGAAACUCUGAUGCAAGCGACGCCGCGUGAGUGAAGAAGUAUCUCGGUAUGUAAAGCUCUAUCAGCAGGAAAGAAAAUGACGGUACCUGACUAAGAAGCCCCGGCUAACUACGUGCCAGCCGCCGC